GGACAAUUAAAAUUUGAUUCCAAAAGUACAGCAUACAGAACAAAGAUGAAAGGAAUUCAAUGUCAGUUCCUUUCCUAAAACAUUGCAUAUGCUUUUAGAAUUACAGCAUACAUGCUCAAGUUAACAUAAUUAGAUCAAGAAGCACGAUAGUAUACAGAAAGGUUCCAUGAUCUUUCUUCAUUUGCAUCUUGUCAAUGCAUUUGCAAAUCAUGAAGUUCAAAUAGCAAAUAAGAUCCCCCUUCCUCAGUUUCACAAAUAGUAUCUUCUUCAAAAAGGCCAUAUUUAAACAAGAAUCUAGACCUCACCACUUAGUCAUUGUUCGUUCUCCAAACUGAGCUCAUUUUGUGCGUAUUUGUAUCAACUAGUAGUUUGGUAUAUAUACACAUGUAGCUCCAUACGACAAGUAUGUAAAUGUCUGUGUACAUAAUUUCACAUUCUAUCGAUUGCAAUUUUU
rnacentral:misc_RNA from 1 species